UUGGGCCAGAUAGCCCACCACAUAGCCGGCCGAAGCGAGGGAGCAUUCGCUGAUCCAAAAAGCAGCGAACCAAUCAGUCGUAGGCGAUUCGAGUGCUUGCUAACCCUAACCAACGCCAGCGGCGACGGCGGCGGCAGCGAGCCGAAACGUCUUGGAAGCGGGGCGGCGUGCCAUCGGUGUCGAUCUCCACUUGCAUGGAUUCGAAGCGCGGCAGCGUGGUUGUGGACGAGGGGCGCGACGUCCAUGGCGCUCAAGCUUUGGCGACCAUGCUGGUACCAAUUUUGGGUGUUUGAAUUUGUUAUACUGACCGAACUGUACUGUGCUGGUAGCCAUGGCGUAGUGAGUCAAGAAGCCUCAUGUUCCUCCGCAUUCCAGGAACAACCCAACUUACUCCGCAACGACGACCACCAUGCAUUUUUACCAACUGUCAAACCAUCUUAUCUCAUCCUAGAAAAACAUACUGUGUAGAGUAGGUGCUCGCUACAGUUGUCUAUCCGGGCCUCCGGCCACCAAAUUCGAACCAUAAACAUAUGUUUUGUCCAAUAGUAGGUGCAGAUGCUAGGGGCUAGGCGUCGAUACCUCCGGUCUCAUGGCACUCCAUGCAAAGCCAAGGCAGGUGACACUCCUUGCAAUUGUUUGCAUGCUUGCAUUGGAAUAAAUGGCCAUGUGAUUUCUGCUGCAUGGCGAUGCUAUUUUAACAAAGUAUUGUUCAGUUUGCAGUAACAAGUUGGUACCCUCUUAUCCUCUACAGGUACUACAUCGGUUAAGCAACAUAUCUUGUCUUUCCUAGACAUCAGCAUUAUUUUGCUAACAUAAUACAGAUCUUAAGUUAAAUCAAUUGAUAAUGUUCUUCUUCUGACCGAAGAAAAUCAUUUUUAGAUAGUUAGUGGCAGGGGCAGUUGGUCAGAUAUAAAGCCUUCUGGUAAACCAGGCGGAUUUAAUGGUCUAAGUAGCUACUGAUUUGCUAACGGGUCACUGCUUUGCAAGAUAAAACUGGCCCAUCUUCGUCCCCCACAUAGCUGACUUGUGCUGCAAAGACUGGAUUCCCUCAAAGGAAAAAAAAAAUUGAGACUGAUGGUGGCAGAAUGACGAAGAAGCUUGGUCAUCUCUCUUCUGUUACUAUUGCUGGCAUUAGGCCUCGAGCGUCAGGAUCAUGAGUAGGGUGUGGAGGCUGUCGGGCUGCAGUCCCAUGGAGUUCUAUGCCUCCAUAUAUAGGAAGUGGAUAUAGUUGAAGCGCCAUAUCCAAUUCAUCGACCUCGCCAUGAUGAGGGAGAAGGUGGUGACCAAUAGGAGAUAUUCGAGCUCAGGAGUAACAUGGCACAAAGGGAUGUUGGUUGAUAAGAUUCAUCCACAUACCAUGUCAAUAUUCUUGGACAAGUACGUAUAGUGUUUUAUACUCUCAAGGACUUUAAUAACUUAUUAUUAGGUUGAUCUACAGUCUCUAGGAGUUUGAUAACUUAUUAUUAGUUUGAUCUUCAGUCUAUAGCUCUAAAGGAGCUCAUACGACAUAUAGAGUUUUACUUUAAACUUUGGAGAGGAUACUCGGAUGUGUACACAUUAGAUGGCCACUUGCUAUAAAAACAAAAGCCGUGGCUGGGAGAUAAGUUAUUUUUUCAUACAUAACUCCCACUUCCAGUUUAGGCCGGGGAACCGCAUAAGCAUUUGGAAUACCAUAUAAUUGCUGGCUCGAACAUGACAUGAAUGUAGUGGCAUUUAUGUUUCAUAUUUAGCUUUGGGGAUGAAAUGGCGAAAUUUGAGUAGCUUAAUUUGAUGUGACUUUGUGAAUGCAUACGUAUUUGUAAUGCUCAUGGUCACUCUUGAGAAGAUAUGAAAAAAUUGAUACGACUGAUCGUGCUACUUGGCACAAGGCCAUAAGUUCAUUAGUUUCAUUAUUAGAUGAAAUUGAUUACCUCGAUUCAUGCUGGGUAUUUAAUUACUUUACAUGCAUGGCACAUCUGUCUAAGGACAGAGCUUGCGUUACUUUAGUCACUGAUAUUUGCUUGCUUUAAAAUGAUGGCCGAUGAUGAAUUAUUUGUUGGUUAGAAGACAAUUUACUGUAUUUCAGUUGUAAAUGCGGUUCUGAUUGGCAGUGGAAGUGAUGAAGUUCCAUAACUUGAGAAAGAGACAUGUUUUAAGAGAUGGUGAUUUAACUAAUAUGGCAAUGAUAGAAUCAAAACAAUAUCUCUCAUUUCUUAUUUUUACUUAAUUUACGUUAGGUUUUCUUUCUUAGAUUUACAUUGAAUUUUUGGUGCUUCCACUUUAAUAAAUUUAAGAACUAUCCUACUGAUGUUUUUAAUAAGGUGCCCAAGAGUUCCAAUGUAGCCAUCUGCAGAAAAUGCAUGCUGGACUGCUCAGAACAUACUAAAGAGGAAACAGUGACAACAACUCAGUGGUUGAACAUCAUGUACUAAAUUUUGGCCAAUAAAAAUUUAGAAGGAAGCUAGAGCCGUAUUGCAUUGGUCUCCGAACCAUCUAAGCGGCGAUCUCGACCUCUCCUGGCCCGCCACCCCUCUGGUGCUGGACGAAGACAACGAGGUCCCUGCUCCCGUGGUGCCGCUGCCUUCUCCUCCGCCCGUCGCCACCCCUAU